rnacentral:rRNA from 1 species
UACGUAGGGGGCAAGCGUUGUCCGGAAUUAUUGGGCGUAAAGGGCGCGUAGGCGGCCUGGCAAGUGGAAGGUGAAAUCCCUCGGCUUAACCGAGGAACUGCCUUCCAAACUGCUUGGCUUGAGUCCGGGAGAGGUGAGUGGAAUUCCCAGUGUAGCGGUGAAAUGCGUAGAUAUUGGGAGGAACACCAGUGGCGAAGGCGGCUUCCUGGCCUGCAACUGACGCUGAGACGCGAAAGCGUGGGGAGCAAACAGG